CAACCUGCCCAUCACUUGGGGAUAACCUUGCGAAAGUAAGACUAAUACCCAAUGACGUCUCUAGAAGACAUCUGAAAGAGAUUAAAGAUUUAUCGGUGAUGGAUGGGGAUGCGUCUGAUUAGCUUGUUGGCGGGGUAACGGCCCACCAAGGCAACGAUCAGUAGGGGUUCUGAGAGGAAGGUCCCCCACAUUGGAACUGAGACACGGUCCAAACUCCUACGGGAGGCAGCAGUGAGGAAUAUUGGUCAAUGGACGAGAGUCUGAACCAGCCAAGUAGCGUGCAGGAUGACGGCCCUAUGGGUUGUAAACUGCUUUUAUAAGGGAAUAAAGUUAGUCUCGUGAGACUUUUUGCAUGUACCUUAUGAAUAAGGACCGGCUAAUUCCGUGCCAGCAGCCGCGGUAAUACGGAAGGUCCGGGCGUUAUCCGGAUUUAUUGGGUUUAAAGGGAGCGUAGGCCGGGGAUUAAGCGUGUUGUGAAAUGUAGAUGCUCAACAUCUGCACUGCAGCGCGAACUGGUUUCCUUGAGUACGCACAAAGUGGGCGGAAUUCGUGGUGUAGCGGUGAAAUGCUUAGAUAUCACGAAGAACUCCGAUUG
rnacentral:rRNA from 1 species